rnacentral:misc_RNA from 1 species
AGAGCCUCACGGGACUGCAACAUAGAGCAUUUAAUAUCCAACCGAGAAAGUGGUUUUUGGAGUCUCUCUCUUAGUUUCCUGCCCUAUAAAUAGACAAGACUUUUGAAACCUAAACUGAGAUUGACUUAAAUAAAACGUAUAUCUAUUAUAUUGUCCUGUUUGAACCAGCAAGAUGUCUCACAUAACUGUAGAAAGAAACCGGAGAAGACAGGGGGACCAAGCAUCUAUAAUCGG